AGUGAAAUGCGUAGAUAUCGAGAGGAACACCAGUUGCGAAGGCGGAUCUCUGGACGGUUUCUGACGCUGAGGCACGAAAGCUGGGGUAGCGAAGAGGAUUAGAUACCCUCGUAGUCCCAGCCGUAAACGGUGCACACUUGCUGUGGGCGGAUUCGACCCCGUCCGUGGCGAAGCUAACGCGAUAAGUGUGCCGCCUGGGGAGUACGGUCGCAAGAUUAAAACUCAAAGAAAUUGACGGGGGCCUGCACAAGCGGUGGAGUAUGUGGCUUAAUUCGAUGCAACGCGAAGAACCUUACCUGGCCUUGACAUGUAGUGGCCCGGGUGCGAAAUCACCCUUUUCUUCGGAACUGCUACACAGGUGCUGCAUGGCUGUCGUCAGCUCGUGUCGUGAGAUGUUGGGUUAAGUCCCGCAACGAGCGCAACCCCCGUGUUCUGUUGCCACCCGGAGUUAAAUCCGGAGCACUCUGGACAGACUGCCUGGUUUCAACUAGGAGGAAGGUGGGGAUGACGUCAAGUCAGUAUGGCCCUUACGGCCAGGGCUGCACACGUACUACAAUGCCUGAUAUAAUGGGAAGCAAGACCGCGAGGUGGAGCAAAUCCUCAAAAUCAGGCCCAGUUCAGAUUGUAGGCUGCAACUCGCCUACAUGAAGGAGGAAUCGCUAGUAAUGCCGUAUCAGCUACGACGGCGUGAAUACGUUCCCAGGCCUUGUACACACCGCCCGUCACAUCAUGAAAGUCGAUUGUACCCGAAGUCACUGAGUUAACUUGCAAAAGAAACAGGUGCCGAAGGUAUGGUUGGUAAUUGGGAUGAAGUCGUAACAAGGUAACC
rnacentral:rRNA from 1 species